rnacentral:rRNA from 1 species
CUGCUGCCUCCCGUAGGAGUCUGGGCCGUGUCUCAGUCCCAAUGUGGCCGUCCACCCUCUCAGGCCGGCUACUGAUCGUUGCCUUGGUGGGCCGUUACCCCGCCAACCAGCUAAUCAGACGCGGGCCCAUCCCGCACCACCGGAGUUUUUCACACCGCUUCAUGCGAAGCUGUGCGCUUAUGCGGUAUUAGCAGCCGUUUCCAGCUGUUGUCCCCCAGUGCGGGGCAGGUUGCCCACGCGUUACUCACCCGUCCG